rnacentral:rRNA from 1 species
CCACUCUUUGCAGGAGGCAGUUAUGAGACGUGAAGAUGAGUAUCUUGUAAAGAGGGAUAGGAGAAUUGGAGGGCAAGUUUGGUGCCAGCAGCCGCGGUAAUACCGACUCCAAGAGUGUGUAUGAGAGAUGCUGCAGUUAAAAAGUCCGUAGUCAUAGAAGGGCAAAGAGAGAUGCGAGGUCUCACAGUGCGAUGAUGGAGGAGCCGAUGGGGAACAUAGUAUACCAGGGCGAGAGAUGAAAUGCCAAGACCCCUGGUGGACUGAGCGAGGCGAAGGCGAUGUUCUUGUAGGCAUUCGGUGAUCAAGGACGAAGGCUGGAGUAUCGAAAGUGAUUAGAUACCGCAGUAGUUCCAGCAGUAAAAGAUGCCGACAUGCUCAUUGGACACAGUGGGCAGGGAGAAAUCUUAGAGUUCGGGCUCUGGGGAUAGUAUGCUCGCAAGGGUGAAAAUUAAAGAAAUUGACGGAGCUACACCACAAGGAGUGGAUUGUGCGGCUUAAUUUGACUCAACGCGAGGAAACUUACCAGGGCCAAGUAUUGUGUAGAAACGAGCAAUACAGGAGUGGUGCAUGGUCGUUGGAAAUUGAUGGGAUGACUUUGACCUUAAAUGGUUGAAUGAGUGAGAUCUUUUGGACAUGUUCCGCACGGAACAGGAAGGAAAAGGCUAUAACAGAUCCGAGAUGCCCUCAGAUGCCCUGGGCUGCACGCGCAAUACAAUAGCAGGUAGAGAGAGAGACAGGAAGGUGCUCAGAUGGACUAUGUGCUGUAAGGCACAUACGAAAGAGGAAUUCCUAGUAAGUGUGUAUCAACAAUGGAUAUUG